rnacentral:rRNA from 1 species
AUGGUCAUGGAAACCAAGCGGAGGAAAGCCGUCUUCGUCUUCCCGCGGUGCCUUGGCCUUCGCCGCGCACGGCCCCGCCACGGCAGGAAGGAGAAGGAGCGUCCCGCUUCUCGGCCAGCAGAUUGGAGGGACUGGGCGGCGCUGCCCGGCACCGCCCUGCGCGCGAUCCUCGGGCGGCUUCAUCAGACCGACGUCCUCCGCGGGACGGGGCCAGGGCUGGCGUGCGCGUCGUGGCGGCGCGCGGCCGUCGAGGACCCGCUGCUGUGGCGGCGCAUCGACCUCGCCUCCGACGAGGACGGGGACAAGGACGCUCCGGCGGGGUGGCAGGCGAUGGCGCGCGCCGCCGUGGACCGCAGCGCCGGCUGGUGCGAGUCCUUCCGCGGCCGCGUCGACGGCGACCUCCUCGUCUACCUCGCCGACAACACGCCGCUGCUGAGGAGCCUCCACGUGACGAGCAUGCUUGACAUGCACGGCUGCCAGCUUGGCACGACGGCGAUGGAGAAGCUGCCCCUUCUGGAGCAGCUCGUGGUGGCGGGGGGAUACUUCGACCACGCUAUGCUGUGCGCCGUCCUCGACCACUGCCCGCGUCUCCGGCUGCUCGACGCCGGCGGCUGA